AGGCUAGCCCCUCUCUCUUGUUUUUGUUGUUGAUCUUUGAGACAAACGUGCCAGCAGACUGACGGGUGUGCUUGCAGAAGUCCAGAGUCACAUGGCCUGUGAGGGAAGCACCAACAGCAGCCACAUAUCCUGGCUGCUUCCUGAUCUGCAGUGUCACCUUUGUGUAAUGACUGUGGCGCACUUGGAUUAAUAAUAAAUCAAAGAGGCAGUGAGGCAAAGCUGCAGUGACGAAAGGAGUGGUGUAAUUUUUGAAUUUCAAGAACAGUGAAGUAGGCGAUGGCAGCGAGCGUAUAAAAGGACACGUACACCAUUAAGUUCUUUGGAAUACACAAAAGUAUCUGACUAGAAAGCUUAUGAAAUAGAAGACAAGAUCCUGCCUCAGGAAGCGUACAUGAGAAUAAUUUUAAAGGAACCCAGCGAUAAAUGCAAAACAGUAGCUGUUGGAGGUGAUGGAAAUGUACAGGAACAGUGGGAGAAGCCGGUAACUUAUAGGAAGCCAAGAUGACAAGAAUUUUAAAAAAUAAUCAGACACACACAGUUUGUACAGAGAGCACCUUUGUAAAGUUGAGAAACAGCGCUCCCCAUCAUCAGUUGUAGUAUACUCCCUCUCCUGCAUUGAAGAGGCCAACCUUCAUCAGAGGUUAGUACUUUAAAUAAGGCAUUUAAAUAAGGUACUUAGGGUUAACCAACUUGACCC
rnacentral:lncRNA from 1 species